ACCUGGGUGGCUCAGUUGGUUGAGCAUCCAACUUUGACUCAGGUCAUGAUCUCGCAAUUUGUGGGUUCAAGCCCCACAUUGGGUU
rnacentral:tRNA from 1 species